rnacentral:rRNA from 1 species
GACGUAGGGCGCGAGCGUUGUCCGGAUUGAUUGGGCGUAAAGAGCUCGUAGGCGGUCUGUUGCGUCGGCUGUGAAAACCCGGGGCUCAACCCCGGGCCUGCAGCCGAUACGGGCAGACUAGAGUUCGGCAGGGGAGACUGGAAUUCCUGGUGUAGCGGUGAAAUGCGUAGAUAUCGAGAGGAACACCUGCGGCGAAGGCGGGUUGCUGGGCUGACACUGACGCUGAGGCGCGAAAGCUAGGGGAGCGAACGGG